rnacentral:rRNA from 1 species
GACGAACGCUGGCGGCGUGCCUAAUACAUGCAAGUAGAACGCACAGUUUAUACCGUAGCUUGCUACACCAUAGACUGUGAGUUGCGAACGGGUGAGUAACGCGUAGGUAACCUGCCUGGUAGCGGGGGAUAACUAUUGGAAACGAUAGCUAAUACCGCAUAAUAUUAAUUAUUGCAUGAUAAUUAAUUGAAAGGUGCAAUUGCACCACUACCAGAUGGACCUGCGUUGUAUUAGCUAGUAGGGGAGGUAACGGCUCACCUAGGCGACGAUACAUAGCCGACCUGAGAGGGUGAUCGGCCACACUGGGACUGGGACCCGGCCCAGACUCCUACGGGAGGCAGCAGUAGGGAAUCUUCGGCAAUGGACGAAAGUCUGACCGAGCAACGCCGCGUGAGUGAAGAAGGUUUUCGGAUCGUAAAGCUCUGUUGUAAGAGAAGAACGGGUGUGAGAGUGGAAAGUUCACACUGUGACGGUAUCUUACCAGAAAGGGACGGCUAACUACGUG